rnacentral:rRNA from 1 species
GAUGAACGCUAGCUACAGGCUUAACACAUGCAAGUCGAGGGGAAACGAUAUUGGAAGCUUGCUUCCGAUAGGCGUCGACCGGCGCACGGGUGAGUAACGCGUAUCCAACCUGCCCAUCACUUGGGGAUAACCCUGCGAAAGUAAGACUAAUACCCAAUGAUAUUUAUAGAAGGCAUCCGAAAUGAAUUAAAGAUUUAUCGGUGAUGGAUGGGGAUGCGUCUGAUUAGCUUGUUGGCGGGGUAACGGCCCACCAAGGCGACGAUCAGUAGGGGUUCUGAGAGGAAGGUCCCCCACAUUGGAACUGAGACACGGUCCAAACUCCUACGGGAGGCAGCAGUGAGGAAUAUUGGUCAAUGGGCGAGAGCCUGAACCAGCCAAGUAGCGUGCAGGAUGACGGCUCUAUGGGUUGUAAACUGCUUUUAUAGGGGGAUAAAGUGAGCUACGUGUAGUUUUUUGCAUGUACCCUAUGAAUAAGGACCGGCUAAUUCCGUGCCAGCAGCCGCAGUAA